GCGGGAGUAACUCAGUGGUAGAGUGCCUGCCUUCCAAGCAGGGUGUCGCGGGUUCGAAUCCCGUCUCCCGCUCCA
rnacentral:tRNA from 1 species